UCAGGAUGAACGCUAGCUACAGGCUAACACAUGCAAGUCGAGGGGCAGCAUUGGAGUAGCAAUACUCAGAUGGCGACCGGCGCACGGGUGAGUAACACGUAUCCAACCUGCCGCUUACUCGGGGAUAGCCUUUCGAAAGAAAGAUUAAUACCCGAUGGUAUAAAGAGUUCGCAUGUUCUCUUUAUUAAAGAAUUUCGGUAAGCGAUGGGGAUACGUUCCAUUAGAUAGUUGGCGGGGUAACGGCCCACCAAGUCUACGAUGGAUAGGGGUUCUGAGAGGAAGGUCCCCCCACAUUGGAACUGAGACACGGUCCAAACUCCUACGGGAGGCAGCAGUGAGGAAUAUUGGUCAAUGGACGAGAGUCUGAACCAGCCCAAGUAGCGUGAAGGAUGACUGCCCUAUGGGUUGUAAACUUCUUUUAUAAGGGAAUAAAGUGAGGGACGUGUCCCUUUUUGUAUGUACCUUAUGAAUAAGGAUCGGCUAACUCCGUGCCAGCCGCGGC
rnacentral:rRNA from 1 species